CCUGUGUAGCGGUGAAAUGCGUAGAGAUAGGGAGGAACACCAGUGGCGAAGGCGGCUGCUGGGCUUUAACUGACGCUGAGGCACGAAAGCGUGGGUAGCAAACAGGAUUAGAUACCUGGUAGUCCACGCUGUAAACGAUGAUUACUAGGUGUGGGGGGUCUGACCCCUUCCGUGCCGAGUUAACACAAUAAGUAAUCCACCUGGGGAGUACGACCGCAAGGUUGAAACUCAAAGGAUUGACGGGGGCCCGCACAAGCAGUGGAGUAUGUGGUUUAAUUCGAAGAUACGCGAAGAACUUACCAGGUCUUGACAUCCAACUAACGAAGUAGAGAUACAUUAGGUGCCUUUCGGGGAAAUUGAGACAGGUGGUGCAUGGUUGUCGUCAGCUCGUGUCGUGAGAUGUUGGGUUAAGUCCCCAACGAGCGCAACCCUUGCUGUUAGUUGCGACAUUCAGUUGAGCACUCUAGCAGGACUGCGUUGACAAAACGGAGGAAGGUGGGGACGACGUCAAAUCAUCAUGCCCCUUAUGACCUGGGUACACACGUACUACAAUGGCCGAAACAAAGGGAAGCGAAGGAGCGAUCUGGAGCAAACCCAAAAAGCGGUCUCAGUUCAGAUUGCAGGCUGAAACUCGCCUGCAUGAAGAUGGAAUUGCUGUAAUCGCGAAUCAGCAUGUCGCGGUGAAUACGUUCCCGGGCCUUGUACACACCGCCCGU
rnacentral:rRNA from 1 species